rnacentral:rRNA from 1 species
AUGGCUCGUGAUAUUCUUGCUAUCCCCAUUACAACUAUGGCUUCUGAGUCUGCCUUUAGCACAAGUGGAUGCAUACUUGAUGACUUUAGGACAUCUCUAACUCCGUUUAUGGUGCAAGCUUUAGUUUGUAUGCAAGACUGGUUGAGAAGGUCAACAGAUCCAGUCGACAUCAAGGAGAACUUGGAAGAAUUAGAAGUGCUAAAAAAGAGUUGA